GAUGAACGCUGGCGGCGUGCUUAACACAUGCAAGUCGAACGAAGCACCUCUCCCGAAGAUUGACACAGCUUGCUGUAGAUUGAUUCAUUUGAGGUGACUGAGUGGCGGACGGGUGAGUAACGCGUGGGUAACCUGCCUCAUAGAGGGGGGCAACAGUUGGAAACGACUGCUAAUACCGCAUAGUAAGAAGAAUUCGCAUGUUUUCUUCUUGAAAGAUUUAUCGCUAUGAGAUGGACCCGCGUCUGAUUAGCUAGUUGGUAAGGUAACGGCUUACCAAGGCGACGAUCAGUAGCCGGCUUGAGAGAGUGAACGGCCACAUUGGGACUGAGACACGGCCCAAACUCCUACGGGAGGCAGCAGUGGGGAAUAUUGCACAAUGGGGGAAACCCUGAUGCAGCGACGCCGCGUGAGUGAAGAAGUAUUUCGGUAUGUAAAGCUCUAUCAGCAGGGAAGAUAAUGACGGUACCUGACUAAGAAGCCCCGGCUAACUACGUG
rnacentral:rRNA from 1 species